rnacentral:rRNA from 1 species
GAGACUCUGUGCGCGUGCAUAUCAAUAAGCGGAGGAAAAGAAACUAACAAGGAUUCCCUUAGUAACGGCGAGUGAAGCGGGAAGAGCUCAAAUUUGAAAUCUUCAAGGUUCUACCUUGACGAAUUGUAGUUUAUAGAAGUGUUUUUCUGUUAGUAGGAGUGGCAAAAGUUCUUUGGAAUAGGACAUCAUAGAGGGUGAGAAUCCCGUAUUUGGUCAUUCCUUCCUAGCGUUGUGAUACUACUUUCAACGAGUCGGAUUGUUUGGGAAUGCAGUCCAAAAUGGGUGGUAAAUUUCAUCUAAAGCUAAAUAUUGGCGAGAGACCGAUAGCGAACAAGUACCGUGAGGGAAAGAUGAAAAGAACUUUGAAAAGAGAGUUAAACAGUACGUGAAAUUGUCAAAAGGGAAGCGUUUGACACCAGUGUUGUUUUUUCCGAAAAUCAAUUACGAAUGUUUUGUUUUUGAGGAGUUAUGACUUCAUCGGCUUGCUUCUCUCUUUACGAAACUUUCUUAAUGCACUUUUCGGUUAACAAGUCAACAUCAAUUUCUUUUGUUGUAAAAGGGUACGAGGAAGGUGGCUUUCUUUUCGGAGAAAGUGUUUAUAGCCUUGUGCCUCUGCAAUCGGAGAGAUUGAGGUCUGCAGCGUAGAUCCUUCGGGGUUAGAUACAUUUGUGCUAAGUUAUAGCUUUUCAUAGACAACUUGUUGACUAUGUUUAGUCUUGUAGCUUACUCGCUUAUGCUAUUUUACCUACGCUUAGGAUGUUGACAGCAGUAUAGACUGU